ensembl:lncRNA
GUGGUGUGUGGGUGUGUGUGUGUGUGUGUGUGUGUGUGUGUGUGUGUGUGCUCCAGAUGUGUCAGAACGUCUCCUGACGCAGAGGAACAUUUGAUCAUCUGAUCAGGGCCGACGCCGCUCCUGGUUUAUUUAUUUACGUCUCAUUUCCUUCCGUUCUGCCUGCACGCAUGUGCACACACACACACACACACACACACGCACACACACACACACACAGAAUAUUGCAUUAACGUAAGAGCCUCGCCGUAGACACCGAUGGUGCCGGUUAGACAGCAGCUCAGGGUGUCGUGGCUACAGAAUAAGAGCCCCGUGCAGGGAAAGGAAGAGGAAACACCUGCUGAGGGAGAAGCACCUGAAGCUCUGCGGGAACCAAUCAGCAGAGGGCAGCGGGGGCUCACAGCGAGGACGAGGAGGGGAGGGAGGCGGCAGCGUGGGCUGUGGGGGGCGGGAGGGGGAGAGGUGUCCUCACGGGGGAGGACUGAUGUCAUGCAGCAAUGUGUUGCUUGUACCAUCAGCCUGAUGAGGUUCGACCUGAACACGUCAGUCGGAUUCGUCAAUCUCAAUCAUCUCAUAGUCGCCAAGACAACAGUUUGUCCGUGGGAGGAAAAUCGGCUGCUGUGUUUAUGAGACACUUUAAUGGAAAUAACGGUUGAAAGAGUUGUGACCCCAAUAAAUAUGUAUUAAUGCACAACCCCCCCUCUCUCACCUCCAGCACAAAGUAAACUAAUUAUAAAUGUUAAGGACGGAAACACGAUGUAAAUACUGAUUAUAACAGCUGAUGAAUUCACCCUGAAGUGACUCGGAGUGAUGGCUGCUGGGUAAUGCAUCACAUUUACAAUAGAAGGUGUUCAUAGUUAUAGUAUGUGCAAAGGAAACACAGGAGAAAUAAAGGUGGAUUGUGUUAUGAAAAGCAGACUUGAUUAUUACUAUUAUCAACUCACAUGAAUGAAUUUGUCUCGAGGUGUGAAAACUAAUUCUUCUCAACAUCUUUGUCUCAUUGUCUCAAAAUAACAAUUGUGAUUUUUUCCUGCAGCUCAUUGUUAUUUGUCGCCGCCUGGUUUCCAAAGAUAAGCAAUAAAGCUUUUAGUCGUGAAUAAGAACCUCAGCUCAGCACGACAUCAAAAGACACGUGUCGUCUUCUUUUCCUUUUUUUACGUUAAGUGAAAUAAAAUGCAGUUAUUAUGCAGCUUUUAACUGCUCAUGAAGCUGCUGCUGAUCAGCCUAAAUGCUCGUCAAAGGACCCGAUCCAUCGCCAGAGACCAACCCGGGAAAGUACCGGAGACCCUGAACCCCAGGGGGGCAACCAGAAGCAGAACCAGAACCAGAAGCAGAACCGAAAGGAGCGGACCGUCACACUCCGAUGCAACUAAAGCAGGUUUUCCAUGAGGGAUCCUUCAGUAGGAAACAGAACCGCCUUUGACCACACGGGGCGCCAGAGCCACCGCAUGAGGGCUCCAGCAACCUGCGAUAUUUCAGUAAACACAUAAAGGAAGACAAUAUUUAUUAAGAUGAAACGCGUCGUCCUCUUCAUCAUUUGUUGAAUUCUGUUCUGGUCCGAUCGUCUGUUAGAAUAUGGAUCAUCUCACAAACGAGGACAUCUGAGCGCGCGCACACACACACACACACACACACGCGCACACACACACACAGAUGCAUACUGUAUGUACCACGGAAUUAUGAACCACACCGUGCAUCAAUGUGUGCGCUGGUGUUUGUGUGUCUCUACGUCUCACAUGUCAAGACGCUAUGAAUAAUAUACACCGUGAUGACAGUAUAAAUAAAGCAUUCAGUGUGUGUGUGUGUGUGUGUGUGUGUGUGUGUGUGUGUGUGACACUGACACACAGUUUCUCAAAAGAUGAACAGGUAAACACACACAAGCCCUCCUUUGCAUGCUGGGAGCUCAUCUCCUUAAAGGGGUCGUGCAGUUUGAACGCUCAAAUAGUGAAAUGUUGAUCAUCGAGAGCCGAACUCAUCAAACGGCGACUCAUCGUUCAGGUUUCUUCUCUUUGAUGCUGAUUCGGACGCACGGCCCACAAUGCAAACACAGAAUACCACCGAAUCCCCGAAAGGUCGCCGUGUGAGACCUGAUUCUCAGUCUUUGGCGUCCUCGUGUGUGGUUCGCGUUGGGGGGGGGUGAUGGGGUAAUUGUAACGCCCGUAAUCUGUGGCAUAGCAUCAUGGGACGGAACCUUUUAAGUAAUAAAUAAAUCUCUCUUUUGAUUUCAGAGGGGACACGAAACUCGUCUCUGUGAUCAUCCCCCCGU